rnacentral:rRNA from 1 species
AUUGAACGCUGGCGGCAGGCUUAACACAUGCAAGUCGAACGAGUGGCGGACGGGUGAUUAAUGCUUGGGAAUCUAGCUUAUGGAGGGGGAUAACUACGGGAAACUGUAGCUAAUCCCGCGUACCCUCGGAUGUGCCCACGUGGGAUUAGCUAGUAGGUGGGGUAACGGCUCACCUAGGCGACGAUCCCUAGCUGGUCUGAGAGGAGGACCAGCCACACUGGAACUGAGACACGGUCCAGACUCCUACGGGAGGAAGCAGUGGGGAAUAUUGCACAAGGGGCGCAAGCCUGAUGCAGCCAUGCCACGUGUAUGAAGAAGGCCUUCGGGUUGUAAAGUACUUUCAGCGAGGAGGCGUUACUCGCAGAAGAAGCACCGGCUAACUCCGUGCCAGCAGCCGCGGUAAUAC